rnacentral:rRNA from 1 species
AGGAUUCCCCCAGUAAUGGCGAAUGAAGCGGGAACAGCUCAAAUUUGGAAUCUCCGUCGCUCGACGCGGCGGCGAAUUGUAGUUUCGAGAAGCGCCUUCCCGGCGAACGCCCGGGCUCGCCCAAGUUGCCUGGAACGGCACGUCACAGAGGGUGAGAACCCCGUCCGAGGCGGGCCCGGAUCGCCCGCGAUGCGCUUUCCAAGAGUCGGGUUGUUUGGGAAUGCAGCCCAAAACGGGUGGUAGACUCCAUCUAAAGCUAAAUACGGGCACGAGACCGAUAGCGAACAAGUACCGUGAGGGAAAGGUGAAAAGCACUUUGAAAAGAGAGUCAAAGAGAGCGUGAAACCGUUGAGAGGGAAGCGAAUGGGGUCGGCAACGCGCCGUGCGAGAUUCAGCCGGCGGGCGGGCCGGAGGGGCGUGGCCGCGGAUCCUGACGGACCGCGCCCGUCCCUGCCGGUCGUCCCGUCCGCCGUCGCACUUCUCGCCGGCGCGCGUCGGCGUCGGUUGGCCCCGGGUCUCGAGGGCGCCGGGAAGGUGAGUCGUCGGCCCCGGUCUCCCGCGAGGGGGAUCGGCGGUCGCCGACCGUUUAUAGCCCGGCGUCGCACGGCCCGGAGCCGACCGAGGAGUCKCGGCGCGUGCUCUCCCCCCGGGGAGGGCUCGGGGAGCCGUCGCGCCGGUCGGCGGUCGACAGCGGUGGACUGCGUGCAGUGCGCCGCGACCGCCGCCGGUCGCCGCGGCGGGCCUGCCCACACCCGCAAGCAGCGCGCCCAGGACGCCGGCGGCCACACGGCCCCAUCCGACCCGUCUUGAAACACGGACCAAGGAGUCUAGCGUGUGCGCGAGUCUUCGAGUGACGGAAACUCCCAGGCGCAAUGAGAGUGAAGGUGGCGAGUGCCGCCGAGGCGGGAGCCCCCGCCGCAGGGGGCGCACCGUCGACCGACCCGGCCCACUCCUGGGCGGGAUCGAGUGAGAGCGCAGCCGCUGGGACCCGAAAGAUGGUGAACUAUGCCUGAAGAGGGCGAAGCCAGAGGAAACUCUGGUGGAGGCUCGUAGCGAUUCUGACGUGCAAAUCGAUCGUCGAAUUUGGGUAUAGGGGCGAAAGACUAAUCGAACCGUCUAGUAGCUGGUUCCCCCCGAAGUUUCCCUCAGGAUAGCUGGAACUCACCCUGAACCGCAGUUUUAUCGGGUAAAGCGAAUGAUUAGAGGUCUUGGGACCGAAACGGUCUUAACCUAUUCUCAAACUUUAAAUCGGUAAGGGGCCCGACUUGCUCGACUGAAGCCGGUGCCACGAAUGCGAGUUCCCAGUGGGCCAUUUUUGGUAAGCAGAACUGGCGAUGCGGGAUGAACCGAACGCGCGGUUAAGGUGCCCAAGUCGACGCUCAUCAGACCCCACGAAAGGCGUUGGUCGCUCCAGACAGCAGGACGGUGGCCAUGGAAGUCGGAAUCCGCCAAGGAGUGUGUAACAACUCACCUGCCGAAGCGACUAGCCCUGAAAAUGGAUGGCGCUCAAGCGUCGCACCCAUACCGUGCCGUCGGCGCGAGCGCCAAGCGCCGACGAGUAGGGGGGCGCGGCGGUCGUGGAGCAGCCCUCGGCGCGAGCCCGGGUGAAACGGCCGCCGGUGCAGAUCUUGGUGGUAGUAGCAAA